rnacentral:rRNA from 1 species
GACGAACGCUGGCGGCGUGCUUAACACAUGCAAGUCGAACGGAAAGGCCCUGCUUUUGUGGGGUGCUCGAGUGGCGAACGGGUGAGUAACACGUGAGUAACCUGCCCUUGACUUUGGGAUAACUUCAGGAAACUGGGGCUAAUACCGGAUAGGAGCUCCUGCUGCAUGGUGGGGGUUGGAAAGUUUCGGCGGUUGGGGAUGGACUCGCGGCUUAUCAGCUUGUUGGUGGGGUAGUGGCUUACCAAGGCUUUGACGGGUAGCCGGCCUGAGAGGGUGACCGGCCACAUUGGGACUGAGAUACGGCCCAGACUCCUACGGGAGGCAGCAGUGGGGAAUAUUGCACAAUGGGCGGAAGCCUGAUGCAGCAACGCCGCGUGCGGGAUGACGGCUUUCGGGUUGUAAACCGCUUUCGCCUGUGACGAGGCGUGAGUGACGGUAAUGGGUAAAGAAGCACCGGCUAACUACGUG